UGCAGUCGAGCGGAUGAAAGGAGCUUGCUCCUGGAUUCAGCGGCGGACGGGUGAGUAAUGCCUAGGAAUCUGCCUGGUAGUGGGGGACAACGUUUCGAAAGGAACGCUAAUACCGCAUACGUCCUACGGGAGAAAGCAGGGGACCUUCGGGCCUUGCGCUAUCAGAUGAGCCUAGGUCGGAUUAGCUAGUUGGUGAGGUAAUGGCUCACCAAGGCGACGAUCCGUAACUGGUCUGAGAGGAUGAUCAGUCACACUGGAACUGAGACACGGUCCAGACUCCUACGGGAGGCAGCAGUGGGGAAUAUUGGACAAUGGGCGAAAGCCUGAUCCAGCCAUGCCGCGUGUGUGAAGAAGGUCUUCGGAUUGUAAAGCACUUUAAGUUGGGAGGAAGGGUUGUAGAUUAAUACUCUGCAAUUUUGACGUUACCGACAGAAUAAGCACCGGCUAACUCUGUGCCAGCAGCCGCGGUAAUACAGAGGGUGCAAGCGUUAAUCGGAAUUACUGGGCGUAAAGCGCGCGUAAGUGGUUUGUUAAGUUGGAUGUGAAAUCCCCGGGCUCAACCUGGGAACUGCAUC
rnacentral:rRNA from 1 species